rnacentral:rRNA from 1 species
GACGAACGCUGGCGGCGUGCUUAACACAUGCAAGUCGAACGAAGUGGCGACCGGGUGAGUAACUCGUAAUCAACCUGCCCUUCAGAGGGGGACAACAGUUGGACACGACUUCUAAUACCGCAUACUUAAGGAGGGGAUUUCGUCUGAUUGGCUAGUUGGGGGGGUAACGGCCCACCAGGGCGAUGAUCAGUAGCCGGUCUGAGCGGAUGAACGGCCACAUUGGGACUGAGACACGGCCCAGACUCCUACGGGAGGCAGCAGUGGGGAAUCUUCCGCAAUGGACGAAAGUCUGACGGAGCAACGCCGCGUGAGUUAUGACGGCCUUCGGGUUGUAAAGCUCUGUUAAUCGGGACGCGGUACCGGAAUAGAAAGCCACGGCUAACUACGUGCCAGCAGCCGCGGUAAUAC